UUGAAGCUGAGGGAAAUUGGACUGGCGCCAAUGGGAAUUUUAGGUAGAGCCCUUCCUAGUUUCUCUGGGCAAUGCUGGGCCCUGACAGAUGGCUGCUCUGCUUCCCUUUCCCUGGCCAGGCUCCCCUCCUCCCCAUCAGCUACAGAACUGGAGACACUGUUCAGAAUAUGAGCCAACGAAAAAGAAGGAACUUACAGACUGAAAAUGGGUUUUGCCCUCCACUACCUUUGCUCCCCACUUCUGACUCUUGUCU
rnacentral:lncRNA from 1 species